UGAGGAAUAUUGGGCAAUGCCCGCAAGGGUGACCCAGCAACGCCGUGUGGAGGAUGAAAGCCGUAAGGUUGUAAACUCCUGUGAGGAGGGAUGAAUGAUAUGAUUUCGUAAGGGAUUAUAUUUGACCGUACCUCCAGAGGAAGCCCCGGCUAACUACGUGCCAGCAGCCGCGGUAAUACGUAGGGGGCAAGCGUUGUCCGGAUUUACUGGGUGUAAAGGGCGCGCAGGCGGGUUGGUAAGUCAGAGGUGAAAGCCUGCAGCUUAACUGCAGAACUGCCUUUGAUACUGCCAAUCUUGAGUUCGGAAGAGAGAAGCGGAAUUCCAGGUGUAGUAGUGAAAUACGUAGAUAUCUGGAAGAACACCAGUGGCGAAGGCGGCUUCUUGGUCCGUAACUGACGCU
rnacentral:rRNA from 1 species